rnacentral:lncRNA from 1 species
UGCAAUUUUGAUGCGAAAUGGUUGUUGGCAUAAAGAUCAUGUCCUCACAGAGUUUGGGAUAUUUGGUACUUAUUUAAGGUACAUUCCUUAACUAUAUAUCUAUCACAGUUUGAUGCUUGACUUAGCAAAAUGCUUGACAUCCAUGGACUGGAAUCUGCAGGAAUAAGGAUAAGGUUAUCAUAAAUAGUGAAAGUGGCUAUAUGGUCCGCACAAAAAUGUCAUCAUCUGAUGAAGGUGGCGUUUUACCUGGUUUUGGAGUAAUAGAUAGUGUGUACCUCACUUGAGGAAGCCAACCCCUAUAAGUGUAAUCCAAAGCAUUUUGGUGAUGAUGUUUUCCACAUUAUCUUUCAAGUCUUCUUGAAAGAAGUGGGAAGGCCUUGUUGAUUGUUUUGCUUUUUGCUUUUUGUGGAUUUUCCAUGGC